rnacentral:rRNA from 1 species
CCUACGGGAGGCAGCAGUGGAGAAUAUUGGACAAUGGGCGAAAGCCUGAUCCAGCAAUGCCGCGUGAGUGAUGAAGGCCUUAGGGUUGUAAAGCUCUUUUACCAGGGAUGAUAAUGACAGUACCUGGAGAAUAAGCUCCGGCUAACUCCGUGCCAGCAGCCGCGGUAAUACGGAGGGGGCUAGCGUUGUUCGGAAUUACUGGGCGUAAAGCGCACGUAGGCGGCUAUUCAAGUCGGGGGUGAAAGCCCGGGGCUCAACCCCGGAACUGCCCUCGAAACUAGGUAGCUAGAAUCUUGGAGAGGCGAGUGGAAUUCCGAGUGUAGAGGUGAAAUUCGUAGAUAUUCGGAAGAACACCAGUGGCGAAGGCGACUCGCUGGACAAGUAUUGACGCUGAGGUGCGAGAGCGUGGGGAGCAAACAGGAUUAGAUACCCUGGUAGUCCACGCCGUAAACGAUGAUAACUAGCUGUCCGGGCACUUGGUGCUUGGGUGGCGCAGCUAACGCAUUAAGUUAUCCGCCUGGGGAGUACGGUCGCAAGAUUAAAACUCAAAGGAAUUGACGG